rnacentral:pre_miRNA from 1 species
UUAAUACUCCCUCCAUUAUGAAUUACUUGUCGCAGAAAUGGAUGCAUCUAGACGUAUUUCUAGUUCUAGAUAAAUCCAUUUCUGCGAUAAGUAAUUCGGGAUGGAGGGAGCAUGAA